AUCCUUUUGUAGUACAUAAGCAUGAUGAUUGGGUGUUCACACGUUUGCGUGAUGUGUGUCUCGCUCAAGCUUUUUUGCAACGUUGGUACGUUACCAUUCUGACU